UACGAAGGGGGCUAGCGUUGUUCGGAAUUACUGGGCGUAAAGCGCGCGCAGGCGGCUAUCCAAGUCAGUGGUGAAAGCCCGGAGCUCAACUCCGGAACUGCCAUUGAAACUGUUUAGCUUGAGGACGAGAGAGGUGAGUGGAAUUCCCAGUGUAGAGGUGAAAUUCGUAGAGAUCCGGAGGAACCCCAGAGGCGAAGGCGGCGCCCUGGCUCGCAACUGACGCUCAGACACGACAGCAUGGGGAGCGAACGGG
rnacentral:rRNA from 1 species